GACGAACGCUGGCGGCGUGCUUAACACAUGCAAGUCGAACGGAAAGGCCCUGCUUUUGUGGGGUGCUCGAGUGGCGAACGGGUGAGUAACACGUGAGUAACCUGCCCUUGACUUUGGGAUAACUUCAGGAAACUGGGGCUAAUACCGGAUAGGAGCUCCUGUUGCAUGGUGGGGGUUGGAAAGUUUCGGCGGUUGGGGAUGGACUCGCGGCUUAUCAGCUUGUUGGUGGGGUAGUGGCUUACCAAGGCUUUGACGGGUAGGCGGCCUGGGAGGGGGACCGGCCACAUGGGGACUGAGAGACGGCCCAGACUCCUACGGGGGGCAGCGGGGGGGAAUAUUGCACAAUGGGCCGAAGCCGGAUGCAGCAACGCCGCGGGCGGGAUGACGGCCUUCGGGUUGUAAACCGCUUUCGCCUGUGACGAAGCGUGAGUGACGGUAAUGGGUAAAGAAGCACCGGCUAACUACGUG
rnacentral:rRNA from 1 species